GAUGAACGCUGGCGGCGUGCCUAAUACAUGCAAGUCGAGCGAACAGACGAGGAGCUUGCUCCUCUGACGUUAGCGGCGGACGGGUGAGUAACACGUGGAUAACCUACCUAUAAGACUGGGAUAAAUUCGGGAAACCGGAGCUAAUACCGGAUAAUAUAUUGAACCGCAUGGUUCAAUAGUGAAAGACGGUUUUGCUGUCACUUAUAGAUGGAUCCGCGCCGCAUUAGCUAGUUGGUAAGGUAACGGCUUACCAAGGCAACGAUGCGUAGCCGACCUGAGAGGGUGAUCGGCCACACUGGAACUGAGACACGGUCCAGACUCCUACGGGAGGCAGCAGUAGGGAAUCUUCCGCAAUGGGCGAAGGCCUGACGGAGCAACGCCGCGUGAGUGAUGAAGGUCUUCGGAUCGUAAAACUCUGUUAUUAGGGAAGAACAAAUGUGUAAGUAACUAUGCACGUCUUGACGGUACCUAAUCAGAAAGCCACGGCUAACUACGUG
rnacentral:rRNA from 1 species